rnacentral:rRNA from 1 species
UACGAAGGGGGCUAGCAUUACUCGGAAUUACUGGGCGUAAAGAGUGCGUAGGCGGCUUAGUAAGUUGGGAGUGAAAUCCUGGGGCUUAACCCCAGAAUUGCUUUCAAAACUGCUUUGCUUGAGUUUUAGAGAGGAUAGUGGAAUUCCUAGUGUAGAGGUGAAAUUCGUAGAUAUUAGGAGGAACAUCGGAGGCGAAAGCGGCUAUCUGGCUAAAAACUGACGCUGUUGCACGAAAGCGUGGGGAGCAAACAGG